GGAGAGAUGGCCGAGUGGCUGAAGGCGCACGCUUGGAAAGCGUGUUUACUCGAAAGGGUAACGUGGGUUCGAAUCCCACUCUCUCCG
rnacentral:tRNA from 1 species